UCACAGUGAUGAAAGUGUGUACCUUUACAUUCGCAGUUUCCACGGUAGGAGUACGCUUAAGAACCCAUCUUUAGUACCCUCAGUGACCGCUCUUAAUUGAGACCUUCCUAGGAUGUCUGAGUGA
rnacentral:snoRNA from 1 species